UACGGAGGGGGCUAGCGUUGUUCGGAUUUACUGGGCGUAAAGGGCGCGUAGGCGGCGUGUCAAGUCGAUUGUGAAAUCUCCGGGCUUAACUCGGAACGGCCAAUCGAUACUGACGUGCUAGAGUGCAGAAAGGGCAAUCGGAAUUCUUGGUGUAGCGGUGAAAUGCGUAGAUAUCAAGAGGAACACCUGAGGCGAAGGCGGGUUGCUAGGCUGACACUGACGCUGAGUGCGCGAAAGCCAGGGGAGCAAACGGG
rnacentral:rRNA from 1 species